AAACGGAGUGAGAGUGCUGACGGGGUGGGUGGCCUAGUAAGGGAAGUAGUUAUGGGUGGCCGAAUAAGAGAGAAAAUGGCAGCCCUAAAAAUGAGGGAAUUCAGUUAUCGACGUUCACAUCCAAUUAUCCAGACUUCGUGAAACACGCGCAGCAUGGGCGAGUUGACUCAGACUCCAGUUUGGUUCUCCCCCCGGAUCUGGACCGCAGACCCGUACAAAGAAUCAAUCCCCAAUUGAAUGCCCAUCUCCCUCCCUGCAUUGUUCUCUCUGCAGCUAACUCUUCAACUCUCUCCUCUAGCUGGGCCUGCAAAUCAAAAACCGCAAUGAGCUACUGAGAAUCGCCGACUGCGCUGAGUCACUGGACGGACGACAACAAUGGGAGCAUGCUGCGGCAACCUCCUACGCGACACGUGGGGUCGCUUCUCCGACCGCUGUGUGCGCUUCAUGCCCUGCUUAUCUGAUCCAGCUCGGAGAUCCACGCUGUGCUUGAAAAUAGUGUUGCUGACGCUGCACGUGGUAUACGCCGGCGUUCUAUUUGGUUUGGACUCAGAGUUAAUUGAGAAUGCCAGACAAGUGCCUUGGUAUAUUGCAAUAUACUACUUGUUGUUCAUUGUCACACUGGUUCAAUAUUUUGUCACUUCGGUUUCACCUCCAGGGUAUAUUCUUGACGUAAUGAGGACUGUCAAUGAGGCAGGUGCCUUGCAUAAUAGUACAUCAGUGGCCUCAAAACAACCUGCUUCAAGCAAAAAUGGCAGUGCAGUUAUUACAAUUGAUCGGAGCCAUCUUUUAGGGCCUAGUGCAACACCUUGGGCAAAGCUAGUGAUGGAUUUGUAUCCCCAUGGAUCAUCUGUUAGAACUUGGACUUGCACUUACUGUCAAUCUCUGCAGCCUCCACGAACUAAACACUGUCAUGAUUGUGACAAAUGUGUUCUUGAGUUUGACCAUCAUUGUGUGUGGCUUGGGACAUGUAUAGGGCAGGGUAACCAUUGCCGAUUUUGGUGGUACAUUUGUGAGGAAACAGCUUUGAGCAUUUGGACUGGCAUCUUAUACAUUCAAUUCCUUAAGUCUAGUAUAUCAAAGGCAUGGUAUGUGUCUUCCACUCCAAGUUGCAAUUUUAUCCUGAUAUUGUUCUGUGCAUUCCUUGUAUUCCCUGUGUUAUUUGGGGGAGGAGAGCUGUGGAGGUUGAAAUUCAAUGUUUGGCCUUGUAAUAUAAUAACCUCUUGGCAUAAAACCAUCAGGUGGGUUUAUGCAAUUAUGAUUCUGUUGCUAGCUAUGUUAUCAUUUUUCUUCAUCUUUUUGUUUCUCCUACUACUUUUUCACAGGUUUUAGGCUUGUGUUCUGGGGAAUUAACUUUCCAUUUGGGUGGGCAAAUAGGAAUUGUGAGAGAGGGAUGCUAAUAAUUACCUCCAGGUAAAAGAAUAUUGUUUUCCUGUACAACAGGAAAGAAGGUGAUGUGGCCUUACAGUUUUUGACUUUUAGCAUUGUAUCAAGUAAAAGGAGGAUGGUGCACCUUAGGGGUAACAUCAAUUCCGGUCUCUAUUUCUGCUGGAAUACCAUUCCAUUUUGACGGAAAAAUAGUUUUAGGAAGCAUAUGUUAGACUUUGAGGAAAGUUAAGCAUGUUUCAUUGUGAAGAUGAAAGUAAUUUACAAAAUAAUGGGGAGCGGAGCAUGGACAUGAAACUGAUGCUUGUGUUUUGAUAGCAAAAAAGAGUUUCAAAGACUCUUGAGAUCAUCAUUUAGUGGACAGAAGUUGUCAAAAAAAAAAAAGUAGAGGAAGUGUCCUUUAAAUAGUCAUUUUCUUAAGUUGCAACCCCGCUGAUGUUGACAUCAAACUAGCACUAUCUUUUCACAUUUUUUAAAAAAUAUGCUGCUGUCCAUUUCUCUCCCUAUAGUGUUUGGGCAGCCAUCUUUCUCAUUAAUGUGGGUUUCCACUACUUCCCAGCCUGUUUCUAAACUUAUAUUAAAUCUAAUUUUUGUCUUGAAACAGCUACCUUAUUUUGACAAACCAGACUACUUAUGAGCUUGUUAGACGGAGAAGGAUCCCAUAUUUAAGGGGGGUUCCUGAAAGAGUGUUUCCUUUUAGUAAAGGAGCUUGCCGAAAUCUGU